rnacentral:rRNA from 1 species
CACGUAGGGGGCGAGCGUUGUCCGGAUUUAUUGGGCGUAAAGAGCUCGUAGGCGGCUUUGUCAGUCGGGUGUGAAACCUCCAGGCUCAACCUGGAGCCGCCACCCGAUACUGCAAUAGCUAGAGUCCGGUAGGGGAGCAUGGAACUCCUGGUGUAGCGGUGAAAUGCGCAGAUAUCAGGAGGAACACCGGUGGCGAAGGCGGGUCUCUGGGCCGAUACUGACGCUGAGGAGCGAAAGCGUGGGGAGCGAACAGG